AACUAUUAACUUCAGAAAACAGAGGCCACUGAUAUCUGAGAACUUAGUUUUAUAUUGAGUGUGGAACUCAAAGAUGAGGUUGAAGUAUGCAAGAUAUCUGUUAGUUUUGGUGGAAACUGAGAGUGCAAGUAUGUUGAAACUGGACAACAGAUCUGUAGAGCAGAAAAAUGAACCAGCAAGCUCCAUAACCUCAUCUGCUCGGAUUGGGAGUUGUGUGGCUGCUGCUGGCGCUGGAGUUGCCUAUUUGACACCGAUUGAUGAACAUCACACUGAUAGCACAUAGCAGUUGUAGCUUUGUAUACUCUAAAAUUAUGUCCUGUGAAGUCCUAUAAAUGUUCUUCCUUCAUCUCAGUAUUAAUCAGCAGUUUACAUAAUCCAUUGGAAAUGUAUCUGUUUGAAUAACCUUUCUGUUGCUUAGAAUGAGAUGUAAUACGAGUAUUUUAUUUAUUUUUAUAAAUUUCGCAAUAUUUCCCACUGAAGGUCAGAGAAAUCCUUAUAUUUAUCUGGAAACAUUUGCCCAGUUUCAUGCCCAGCUCAAAGUUUCUAGAGAGAGGCAUGCGGUGUGGGUGUGCAGGAAUGCAAUCCAGCCAGUCUCCAGAGAAGCCUGAAAAUUUCUGCUGCAG
rnacentral:lncRNA from 1 species